rnacentral:rRNA from 1 species
UACAGAGGGUGCGAGCGUUGUCCGGAAUCACUGGGCGUAAAGGGCGCGUAGGCGGUCUUGUAAGUCGGGGGUGAAAUGCUGCGGCUCAACCGCAGCGCUGCCUUCGAGACUGCAAGACUGGAGCACGGGUAGAGGCGGAUGGAAUUCCCGGUGUAGCGGUGGAAUGCGUAGAGAUCGGGAAGAACACCAAUGGCGAAGGCAGUCCGCUGGGCCGUUGCUGACGCUGAGGCGCGACAGCGUGGGGAGCAAACGAGGA